rnacentral:rRNA from 1 species
GACAUCUGACCUCAAAUCAGGUAGGACUACCCGCUGAACUUAAGCAUAUCAU